rnacentral:rRNA from 1 species
UUCGCAAUGCCCGAAAGGGUGACGAAGCGACGCCGCGUGUGGGAAGAAGGCCUUCGGGUUGUAAACCACUGUCGGGAGUUAAGAAAUACAAGGAUAUUAAUAGUGUCUUUGUUUGACUAAGGCUCCGGAGGAAGCCACGGCUAACUCUGUGCCAGCAGCCGCGGUAAUACAGAGGCGGCAAGCGUUGUUCGGAAUUAUUGGGCGUAAAGAGCACGUAGGCGGCUAUGUAAGUCGGUUGUGAAAGCCUUCCGCUCAACGGAAGAACAGCAUCCGAUACUACAUGGCUUGAGUGCGGGAGGGGAGAGUGGAACUUCUGGUGGAGCGGUGGAAUGCGUAGAUAUCAGAAGGAACGCCGGCGGCGAAAGCGGCUCUCUGGCCCAUAACUGACGCUGAGUGUGCGAAAGCUAGGGGAGCAAACGGGAUUAGAUACCCCGGUAGUCCUAGCCGUAAACGAUGGGCACUAAGUAGAGGGGUUUUA